rnacentral:tRNA from 1 species
UGGGGCGUCGCCAAGCGGUAAGGCAUCGGUUUUUGGUACCGACAUCCUAGGUUCGAUCCCUAGCGCCCCAGCCA